rnacentral:rRNA from 1 species
CAGUAAACGCAGACGUCUGAUAAACAAGUUAAUAAACUAAAACUUUCAACAACGGAUCUCUUGGUUCUGGCAUCGAUGAAGAACGCAGCGAAAUGCGAUAAGUAAUGUGAAUUGCAGAAUUCAGUGAAUCAUCGAAUCUUUGAACGCACAUUGCGCCCCUUGGUAUUCCGGGGGGCAUGCCUGUUCGAGCGUCAUUACAACCCUCAAGCUCUGCUUGGAAUUGGGCACCGUCCUCACUGCGGACGCGCCUCAAAGACCUCGGCGGUGGCUGUUCAGCCCUCAAGCGUAGUAGAAUACACCUCGCUUUGGAGCGGUUGGCGUCGCCCGCCGGACGAACCUUCUGAACUUUUCUCAAGGUUGACCUCGGAUCAGGUAGGGAUACCCGCUGAACUUAAGCAUAUCAAUAAGCGGAGGAAAAGAAACCAACAGGGAUUGCCUUAGUAACGGCGAGUGAAGCGGCAACAGCUCAAAUUUGAAAGCUGGCCCUUUUAGGGUCCGCAUUGUAAUUUGUAGAGGAUGAUUCGGCGAGGGCUCCUGCCUAAGUCCCCUGGAACGGGGCGUCAUAGAGGGUGAGAAUCCCGUAUGCGGUAGGUUGCCUUAGCCAUGUGAAUCUCCUUCGACGAGUCGAGUUGUUUGGGAAUGCAGCUCUAAAUGGGAGGUAAAUUUCUUCUAAAGCUAAAUACCGGCCAGAGACCGAUAGCGCACAAGUAGAGUGAUCGAAAGAUGAAAAGCACUUUGGAAAGAGAGUUAAAAAGUACGUGAAAUUGUUGAAAGGGAAGCGCUUGCAACCAGACUUGUCCGCAGUUGCUCAGCCGGUCUCCUGACCGGCGUACUCUUCUGCGGCCAGGCCGGCAUCAGUUCGGGCGGUCGGAUAAAGGCCUCGGGA